rnacentral:rRNA from 1 species
GAACGGGUGAGUAAUGUAUCGCUAACGUACCCCUAUGUCUGGGAUAGCCGGGGGAAACCCCGGGUAAUACCAGGUGACAUGGCCUUUUCGCAUGGAGAGGCUCUCAAAGGGAAACCGCACAGGGAGCGGGCGAUAUCGUAUCAGCUAGUUGGUGAGGUAACGGCUUACCAAGGCGACGACGCGUAGCCGGGCUGAAGAGGUCGGCCGGCCACAUUGGGACUGAGACACUGCCCAGACUCCUACGGGGGGCUGCAGUAACGAAUCUUCCGCAAUGCACGCAAGUGUGACGGAGCGACGCCGCGUGUGGGACGAAGUCCUUCGGGAUGUAAACCACUGUCAGGGGUAAGAAAGUUCUGAUCUACCCCAGAGGAAGGCACGGCUAACUCUGUGCCAGCAGCCGCGGUAAGACAGAGGUGCCGAGCGUUAGGCGGAAUCACUGGGCUUAAAGCGUGCGCAGGCGGUUUGUUAAGACGGAUGUGAAAUCCCCGGGCUCAACCUG